UACGUAGGGUGCGAGCGUUAAUCGGAAUUACUGGGCGCAAAGCGUGCGCAGGCGGGCUUUUAAGCCAGACGUGAAAUCCCCGGGCUUAACCUGGGAAUGGCGUUUGGGACUGGGAGUCUGGAGUGCGGCAGAGGAGACUGGAAUUCCUGGUGUAGCAGUGAAAUGCGUAGAUAUCAGGAGGAACACCGAUGGCGAAGGCAGGUCUCUGGGCUGACACUGACGCUCAUGCACGAAAGCGUGGGGAGCAAACAGG
rnacentral:rRNA from 1 species